rnacentral:lncRNA from 1 species
GAAAAAAUACAUCUAAAAUAAUCUCAAUUCAAGAAAUUACUUUUCUCUCUUUGUAUAAUUAAAUACGAAAUCAACAAAUCCAAUAAUAAGAAUGAAAAUAACAAAUAACCAUCUACAAACAAAAUACAAUAUUUAACGUAAAAAACCCUUAAAAGGGAAAAAUUACUGGUCGAACUCCGAAUCUCCACUAUAUCACUAACAAUGGACUUAUAAUAAUUCUCCCAAAUUUUACACCAUAAAACUAGAAGUUGCACAAUAAAUUGAGUGCACAAAUUUACCUUUAAUUAGGUUGAAAAACUUAAUUAACUUUAUCACAAUAAAAACAUCCCAAACAAUAAAGUCUUUAAGUGUUCAAUUGAACAGAGAUAGCAAGAUAUCCACGAACAACAAACUUUAAUCCUCUUAAUUUAUUCUUUUGACAAUUUAUUGCUACCAAGCUCCUCUCAUGUAAAAAAUAAGUGGAUUAAAAAUAAUUUAUUCUCCUAAUCAAAUUAUAUAUUAUAUCUCCUUGUCUUGAUCACCAACCAAUCUAACAGGUAAAUCAUUUUUCAAUUUGGAUUCCUUUCAAGGGUGAGGACCCACACCCAACAAUCUUCUCUUCCGAACCCAUUAGAGGAGGGAUCACUAACCACAACUUCUCACCUAGGGUUAAUUCCAACGAAGUCUGGCUUCAUCUUAUCGGCAUGGUUCUUCUCGAUUAUAAUCAAGCGGGACUAUUUUAUGUGAAACGAAAAUUCAGAUUCAUAAAGAUAUACUUACUAAACAAAACUGUUGCGAUAGCGGAUAGUGCUAAGAAAUUGAAGCUUUACUCCAAGAAUCAAGUGAUGAAUCUGAAACAAACUUGUGUUACGAUAUGGUUGUGUAGUAGGACAUAAUUUUCAGAAGGCAAUGUUCAUGUAGUGUCACAGUUGAGCAUUUAUCAUAAAUUUUUAGUACAUGCUUGCAAGCAUGUGCUGCACAUGGAUAAUGUCAGUAAAAUAAUGACAAAAAGAGGAAAUCGGGCAGUUAGUACGUGGACUAUCUAUGCCGUGAAUUGCAAGAAAAAUUCAUACAAUACUAAGGCAGUCCCAACAUCAAUAAGACGGUUCAAAAAUCAGUCCCAAUUGAACCCUAAAAUUAGUCCUAACAGGAUCAAUUAACCCAACAUUAUCAAUUAAACACAAUCAGUCCCAAAAUUAGUCACACCAUGAUCAAUUACCACACAAUCAGUUCCAAUUGAGUCCCAAAAUCAGUUCCAAAAUCAUUCCCAAAAUCGAUCACAAAUCCACUCCCAAAACAAAAAAUCAGUUCCAAACUUAUCAAUUAACUAAAUCAUAUAUAUAAGGCAAUCCCAAUUAUUGAUAAUUAUUAUCAGAAAAUUUAUUCCACAUAAUUAGGGCAGACAAAUUACCUCAAGUUGGUUGAUAAUUACUGACAUAAAAUCAACUUGAGUUACCCACUAACCUUUAAUUAAUCUUUAAACUAGUUGGUAAUAGCCGCCGCCACCACCCAACACAACGACCACAGCACCGCCUGGUGCCACCAAAGCUCUGUGAGAGCUUUGCACAUACAGGAGGGAGAAGGAGAAAUAUGGGAGAUUGAGAGAUGAAAGAUGAGAGAGAGAGAGAGAGACGGACAACGGGACAAGUGAGCUGAGAAAGAGGGGAGAUGAAAAUGAAAGAGGCGGCAGGGGAUUUUUAGGUUUUAAUAGUUAUUAUCGACGGAAUAGCCGUCGAAAAUGUUCGUCGAACAUAUGGUAUUUUUGAGUAGGUAAACGAGUCGAAUCUCGCUUUCAUGCUCAGAUUCGGCUCGACUCGAAAAAAUUGAGCUCGAAUUUAACUCGAAUUCGAUAAGGGAUUUAUAUUUUUGCUCAUAUUCGACUCGGAUCAUUACUCAGACCUACUCGGUUCGUGUAAGUACUCGACUCGUUUGUAACGAGUUACUCAUGAGCCUUCAAAUCAAGUUUCGAAUAUGAACUAUUUCACUUAAAACUGAACCAUUACAUACUAAAU